rnacentral:rRNA from 1 species
UACGGAGGGAGCAAGCGUUACUCGGAAUUAUUGGGCGUAAAGGGCGCGUAGGCGAUCCUGUAAGUCUCGUGUGAAAUCCCAGGGCUUAACCCUGGAAUGGCAAGAGAAACUGCUGGAAUUGAGUUCCGGAGAGGAAGGCAGAAUUCCCGGUGUAGCGGUGAAAUGCGCAGAUAUCAGGAGGAACACCGAUGGCGAAGGCAGGUCUCUGGGCCACUACUGACGCUGAGGAGCGAAAGCGUGGGAGCGAACAGG